GCCAGCAGCAGCCAGUGUCGGGGGGCACCUGGCAGCCUCCCCCGGCUUCGGCCCUGGUGGUCCGAGGGGCGGGUAGAGCCCUUCCCCUCGAGUAGGGCCCUUCACUUGUCCUUCUGGGCAGCGGAGGAGGGGCUCGGGCCGGCGCUGCUAAGCGCCCGCGGCGCGGAGGCGGGCGGGGGCGGGUGCCCCGUCCGCCCGGGUGGGCAGGACCGGUCCCCCGGGGCUGGGAAGGGCACGUUUCCCCAGAGCCGGUGCUCCUCCGUAGAGAGCGAAAUCAGUGAGGCGGAGGGGGAACAGGGUGGCAACCGAGUGUUACUAGGAUGUAACAUUCCUAAAGCAAUUCCCACAGCAUCUCCUGAGCUGCGAACAGUCCUGAAAAGUCCUGGAGCUGCUGGAGAAAGCACAGAGUGAUGAGGGUCAGGAGAGUUCGAGCCUGGGGGUCGAUGGUGAUGGAUGGAUGGAGUCCUCCCUGGAAGCCGGCCAUGGAUGGAAGAGAAGGGAAGGAGAAGCAGGAAGGAAGUUGUCUUCUGUGAUCUCUGACCUUCCUCUGAGCUUACGUAGAUAUAUGGAAUGGAAUAUCUCUGGCCAGUUUUGCUGUCUGUCUAACUCAGCCUCCUACGGAGGGGUCAUAGAUCUCCCCAUAGUGUCUGAGCCAGCAGAGUGAAAGUGUGACCUUGGAGUCUCGGCAAUAACAUAAACAUUUCAGUGUUAUCAGUCCUAGCUGGAACACUUACUGCUAGUUAAAAGAAAGCUUACUGAAGGAAAACAAAAAAUCAGUAAAAGGGAAUUUAGCUUUGUUCUGGCUCAGACUAAGACACUCAUAGAAUCAAUAGAAUGGUUGAGAGUGGAAGGGACCUCUGGAUUUCACCUGUUCCAACCUUCCUGCUCCUGCAGGGCCACCUACAGCUGGUUGCCCAUGACCAUAUCUAGACAGCUUUUGAGUGCCUCCAAGGAUGGAAGCUCCACAGCCUCUCUGGGCAACGUGUGCCAGUGCUUGGUCACUCUCACAGUAAAACAGCUUUUCCUGAUGUUCAGAUGGAGUCUGGUGUAUUCAGUUUGUGCCCAUUGCCUCUGGUCCUGUCACUGGGUAGCAGUGGAGAGAACCUGCCUCUGUCCUCUUUGCACCUUCCCUCCAGGUAUCUGGAUCAAUAAUCCUUCUACAAAUAUUUUCAAGUUUACAGAGUGAUGUUUGUUGACUUCAGCUGAUUUCCGUAUACAUUGAUAUGAUAAAAUGUAAUAGUAGAUUACUGGAACAUCUUAGGUGCAGUACUGAGAUACAGGUUGAAAUUAACUGCUUUUCCAUAUAAUCACUAAUGAGUUAUAGAAAUACACUUGAACCUCUGUUAAACUGCAUGUGAUAAAAACUGACAUUUUCAUAUUCUGUUGUGAAAUUUGUAUUUUAACAUCUAGGCAAGCAUGUAGUAUUGAAAUGUUUAAGAAAAGUCUGUCUCUAGAAAAUUUAAUUUGAAAUAGCAAAAGACAAGAUCGCGCUAAGCAACAUUUAAAUACAAUUAUUAUUUUUUUUUUAUUAAAUCAGUCAAUUCAAACUGAUUUACCUAUCCUAUUACUGAAAUCACAUUUGUAGCAUUGCUGGCACACAAAUAGUUUCUCAGCAGUUCAGAGGAAAACCUAUUUCAUCAGACUGUUCCUAAAAUGAAGGGAGAAAGACGUAAUCAUCUAAGAAAAUGGACCUGCAUGGAGUAUGAAUAGUUCCAAUGAAUAGACUUCAGCUGUGUGUUUGUCACAACACCUCUGAAUAAGAGGUCCAUGGUACUGUCAGAAACAGAUCUGAUGUAAUUACUCUGGAUGUUCCCGGAAUAUGUUAAUCGUUGCAAAAAUAUUAGCAGCAGUGCUCUUGUUUUAAGUGUAAGAAGAGUUGGAAAAUUCAUAGAGAAAUGUCAUGUGCAUCUUCAGGAGUUAGGAAAGGAAGUAUAUUAUGGAAAUGAAAAGAUCUGGGUGAUGCUAAAUAUCCUGUACUAAAAAGGCAUCUCAAAAAUCAUAUCUUAUUUUGCCCCACCUUACUAAUUAAGACAACAGCUGUUAUUUCAAAAUAAUAGGUUUUGUUGUUUACUCUGUCACACCCAUUUUAACAGUAUAAUUUAAUUGAUGGAAGCAUUACAUCAGCAUAAAAUUAGUGUAAUAAAAGCCCCAGCAUACCUCAUGAGCAGCUGGCUACUAUUGUUGCAUUAGACUGAAAAACAGCUGAAAAACAGCUCUUUUUAUUAUUUUUUUUGAAGACAGUGUGUAAAUCUAAAGCAGCAGGUAAUUUCUGUCAGAAGGAGCCUAAGACAUUAAGUGUACUGAGAUGAUAGACAUAGAAUCUGAAGAGUCAUCAAUAUAAUGUCAGCAACUAAGAUUAAAAUGCCAUUUGGGAUGGACAUAUGGGAGAAAGAAUUAAUGAAAGGCAAGGGUGGGAGGGAAUGGGAAGAAAAACACAAGAAGGUGGGCACAAAAACCAGGUCAAAAAAAAGGUAUUGAGGAGUUUUGUGAAGAUUGGCAAUGAUGUCUUCUUCCCAAAUCUGUAUAUUAAAUACACCUUUCUCCUCUCAGAGUUGGAGUAGGUUUUGUGCAAGUACCUAUUUUCCUGCACUAUAUAGGGUAAUGUGAGCAUCUUUCGCUGUCCACUCCUGUUUUACCCUCUCUUUAUUCCACUCCCCAAAUGUCACAUACUCUGUGGAUGGCAGUACACAUACAGUAUUGGUCAUCAUUGCUUUCUAUAAAAAAGCAGCAAUGUAAUUCUCCCAUGAACUCAGGUGUGAGGAAAGGGUCAACAUUUUCCUUUUCAUUAAUUCCUACACUGUAAGUGACUUACGUGGCAUCAGAUGUUUGGGUUGCACUUAUUUCUCAGCUGUCUUCUCUAAUCAUGGACAUACACAGUGAGGGAAGAAAAGAUUUUUAAAACAGGCACAGAUACAAGCAGAUUCACACAACUAUUGAGAGUUAAGUCCAGGUUUAAAUGCAUUCCCUGGACCAGGUAAAGGGAGUGUGCUCAUCUUUCACUUCCUGGAAUGCUCUUGAUAUUUUCAGAAUUUUACUCUGAGACAAGCUACUGCUUUCAUUGCUAAUCCAUGUGCCUGAAGCUGUAUCUGAAUCAAAGUUGUACUUGGUCUUUUUUCCUAUAGUUAGGAGAAAACAGGGCUAAUGUCACCCCUAUCUAUAAGAAGGAUUAAAAGGAGGACCCAGCUGAUUAUAGACCUAUCAGCCUCACUUCAGUCCCUGGGAAAGUCAUGGAGCAAAUCCUCCUGGGGACUGUCAUAAAUCAAUUGAAGCACCUGAUUGGGAAAAGCCAACAUGGAUUUACCAGGCAGAUUGUGCUUGACGAACCUGAUCAUCUUCUAUGACAAAGUCACCUGCUCUGUUGAUGCAGGGCUAGCACUGGACAUCAUCUACCUGGACUUUUCCAAGGCUUUUGAUACUAUCUUCCAUGGCCUCCUCCUGGAUAAACAGACUCGUUACAGCCUUGACGAGUGGUCUAUGUGGUGUGUGGGGAACUGGCUGACAGACCGUACUCAGAGGGUGAUGGUAAAUAGUUCCUCCUCAAACUGGCAACCUGUCAAAGUGGGGUCCCCCAGGGACUGAUCCUAGGCCCAGUGCUAUUUAGUAUCUUCACAAGUGACCUGGAUGUUGGGAUCAAGAGCACCCUGAUGAAGUUCACUGCUGACACCAGGAUAUGGGGUGAGUCUGAAACUCCGAACAAGGACAUCACCAGCAGAGAUAAAGAAAUCAUCAUCCUGCUCUACUGGGCAUUUGUCAGACCACAUCUGGAGUACUGUGUUCAGUUUUGAUGCCCCACUGCAGAAAGGGAAAUACUAGAUUCCCCCACACUGGACAGUUGUUAGUCUCAGCUUGACAAGGUGCUGAGCCAUGUCAUAUCAACUAUCGUAGUACCUAGAAAGGUUGAACCAGAUGAUCUUUGAGGUGCCUUCUAGCUUGGCAUUCUGUGAUUCUAUGAUUCUAUGUUUAUACACAAAAAAACCCCAGCAACAAGUGCCAACAAAGUCUGGAGCUCUUAUCUUGAAUCAAUUUGGUGUUUCAUAGACAAAAUUUUGCCUAAAAUCAAAAUUGACAUAUUUAAACACUGCAGAUUUCUUGGUAGAAGUAACUUCUUACUCUACAUUUUCUACCAUGUCCCCCUUCAACAACACAGCUAACACAGAGGAGUGUGCAUCAACCUUCUAAGUUGCAAAGUAGGCUAUACAUUUCCUUUUGUGAAUCGAUGCAUUAGUGUUCUUUCCUUUCAACUCAGGGAUAAUCUUUUGCUCACAGUGACCUCUAGUGUGAAUGAAUGAAAUAAUUUUGUGUCGUCCAAGGUAAUGCCUGGAGAGUAUUGUAUGCAUCCAUACAGAUACCUGGGUAAGGGACAAGGGUACCAUCUGUUUGACUAUGUGACAGGCUGCUUUAUGGAUGCAAAACACAAACAGGAAACCAUAAACAAAAAAAACAUUCCUUCAGCCAUUUUGAGGGAAUAAAUAAUUAAAAAACC